CAGUCGCCACGGUAAUACGAAGGGGGCUAGCGUUGCUCGGAAUCACUGGGCGUAAAGGGUGCGUAGGCGGGUCUUUAAGUCAGGGGUGAAAUCCUGGAGCUCAACUCCAGAACUGCCUUUGAUACUGAAGAUCUUGAGUUCGGGAGAGGUGAGUGGAACUGCGAGUGUAGAGGUGAAAUUCGUAGAUAUUCGCAAGAACACCAGUGGCGAAGGCGGCUCACUGGCCCGAUACUGACGCUGAGGCACGAAAGCGUGGGGAGCAAACAGGAUUAGAUACCCCUGUAGUCCCUGUCUCUUAUAU
rnacentral:rRNA from 1 species